CUCAUGGCCAUGCCGGAUCCUUAACCCACUGAGCAAGGCCAGGGAUUGAACCUGCAUCCUCAUGGAUACUGGUUGGGUUUAUAACCUGCUGAGGCGUAACAGGAACGCCUCCCCUGCUUUUGUAAAAGACAGCACUGAAUUCAUUCCCCACCAACUCGGCCAGCUGUGAGAACAGGAUGAUAAUUUAAAGAAGAACCAGGGUGGGAGGGUCGAUUAGGGAGCACGGGGCCCUGCAGCAGAGCAGAAAGCACAGGCCGAAUGCUGACCUGGGAUGGCACAGGGCCAGUUACCUAACACUUGGUCUGCCCAUCUCUUGGUUUUUCUAGAGAAGCCAGAAUUCCAGAUUUUUAUGCUAAAGUUCAUGCUUUUUAAAUGCUGGAAGAUACCAUGCGAGCCAGGUUAGUCGGAGGGCCCAGGCUGGUCCUUCAGCAACGACACUCAAACCUGGCUCCGUUCCGAACCAGAAGGCCUGAACCGUCCACACGAGCAGCCCGACAGAGGAGGAGGCAGCGGCCCAUUUCUGCAGAAUGCGUCUGCCUCCAGUCCACAAGCAAGGUCUAGCACACCAUCAAAAACCACAAGGCACAGCGUUUUUAGCAAAGAAACCCUCCAAAAACCACAAGGCACAGCGUUUUUAGCAAAGAAACCCUCCAAACGGUGAGUGGAAAGGCACAGACCCUGGUCUUUUCGUGCAACGGGCCGUCACUUAGAGACGAAAAGGAAAAACAUGGAUGCCUCUCGAAUGCACUGCAUGAAGUGAGAGAAGCCAGGCACAAGGACCACCUGCCACGCGAUUCCACUUACGUGGUAUCUGGAAAAGGCAAAACCCCUAGCAGUUGUUUUGGAAUAACGAACGGAGUGGAAUAAAGAAGAGGACUGACUACAGACACCCAAAGAAAUGAAAGGCAGCAACAGAACCGUUCGGUAACUUUUUUUUUCUUCAUCUUUUUAGGGCCUCACUUGUGGCAUAUGGAAAUUCCCAGGCUAGGGGUCGAAUUGCAGCUACAGCUGCCGGCCUACGCCACAGCCACGGCACUGUAGGAUCCGAGCCACAUCUAUGACCUGCACCACAGCUCAUAGCAAUGCCAGGUCCUUAACCCACUGAGAGAGGCCACAGAUCAAACCCGCAUCCUCUUGGAUUCUAACUGGAUUCGUUUCUGCUGAGCCAUGAUGGGAACGCCCCAUUUGGUACCUUAAUUGCAUUGGUGUUGACAUGACCAUAUAAGAUUGUCAAAAUUCUUAAUGUAUAGUAUUGUACACCUAAAAGGGUCCAUUGUAAAUUCUACCUCAGUCAUCUGGAGGCAAAAAAAGAAUGUUCUGGCCAUGGAGGAGGAGCUCCGUGGGUAACAGCUUAAUAACUGCACCCAAGUCCUAGUUACGCAUCAAUUACUGAACUGCUGGUUUAUCUCCCUGAACCCUCCCCACGACCCAAGGGGUAGCUUCCAUCAAUGUCUUACAUACAAAAUCAGCCAUCAAAGAGGCAACGUGAGCUGCCCAAGCUCACACAGCAGUGAGCAGGAGAGCUGGGGCUGUCCAGGCAUGUCCGACUCCCUAGCAUAUGCUCAUGGGGAAGCAACGCCAGGCCCUAGAGCUUGCAACAUGAGGUCUGCAGGCCCAAGGGCAGGCUGGGGGUUCCCCACUGGGUUUCUGGCACCCAGCACAGUGCCUUGAUCCUACAAGGGGCCAUACACCAAAUAGCCUUGGAAGCAGAUGGCCGGGGGACAGAACUCAGCUCAGCCACCUCCUAGCUGGAUGACCCAAGGUGACCCGUCUCCUGAUCUUCAGUUUCACCUGGAGAUGAAACAAAAUAUAUAUGCAAGAUGACCAGCCAGUAUCUGGCACAUAGUAGGUGCCCAAGAAACAGAGUUACAGUGGCAGCUGCUGUAUAUACAUCACAGUACCAGCCUCUGUGCUGCCCGCGUCCUUCACGCCAAACAGUCUGGACACUUAUCUGAAUAUGUAUUCACUGUUCCUGCCUCCAAGCCUGUGCUAGAAGUUUCUUCUACGCAGCGUGCUGUCCCACCAGCCUUCUCUACUUCCAACUGUGGCUUCGAGGCAAACGCAAGCAAAACCUCCUCUCCCGUUGGGAAUUCAAUCUCACCAAUAAGGACAAGGAAGGGCGGGAAGGCUCCAUGCUGUCCCCACCGAGACCGCCAGGCUCCCGCACACACACACUUAGACGCCCAGCAAAGCAGACACUAGACCAUGGACGGGAGCAGAAACUGCCUCCCGUCCCUGGGGUUACCAGCCUUGGGAGGUGGGCUGAGGAGGGACAGUCAGCUGACCAAAGAGGCAAGACCCGUGUCUGUCUCCAUCUGCUGUCCGGAGCUGACGAGGCGCUCCCGGGAAACACCCCCAGCCCAGCCCCUGGAAGAUCUGGCGUAAGAGAAAGGGAGCUGGACUGAGCUCUAGAGAUGUGGGUUCGAGUCCUGCCUCUGCCACCCCUCGGCCGGCCUGC
rnacentral:lncRNA from 1 species